GAUGAACGCUGGCGGCGUGCCUAAUACAUGCAAGUCGAGCGAACAGAUGAGGAGCUUGCUCCUCUGACGUUAGCGGCGGACGGGUGAGUAACACGUGGAUAACCUACCUAUAAGACUGGGAUAACUUCGGGAAACCGGAGCUAAUACCGGAUAAUCUAUUGAACCGCAUGGUUCAAUAGUGAAAGACGGUUUUGCUGUCACUUAUAGAUGGAUCCGCGCCGCAUUAGCUAGUUGGUAAGGUAACGGCUUACCAAGGCGACGAGGCGUAGCCGACCUGAGAGGGUGAUCGGCCACACUGGAACUGAGACACGGUCCAGACGCCUACGGGAGGCAGCAGUAGGGAAUCGUCCGCAAUGGGCGAAAGCCUGACGGAGCAACGCCGCGUGAGUGAUGAAGGUCUUCGGAUCGUAAAACUCUGUUAUUAGGGAAGAACAAAUGUGUAAGUAACUAUGCACGUCUUGACGGUACCUAAUCAGAAAGCCACGGCUAACUACGUG
rnacentral:rRNA from 1 species